rnacentral:rRNA from 1 species
AACGAACGCUGGCGGCAUGCCUAAUACAUGCAAGUCGAACGAACGUAGCAAUACGUGAGUAGCGGACGGGUGAGUAACACGUGGGAACCUGCCCAGCGGUGGGGAACAACCGAGGGAAACUUCGGCUAAUACCGCAUACGCCCUUACGGGGAAAGAUUUAUCGCCGUUGGAGGGGCCCGCGUCCGAUUAGCUAGUUGGUGAGGUAACGGCUCACCAAGGCGACGAUCGGUAACUGGUCUGAGAGGACGACCAGUCACGCUGGGACUGAGACACGGCCCAGACUCCUACGGGAGGCAGCAGUAGGGAAUAUUGGACAAUGGGGGAAACCCUGAUCCAGCAAUGCCGCGUGAGUGAUGAAGGCCUUAGGGUUGUAAAGCUCUUUCGCCCACGACGAUGAUGACGGUAGUGGGAGAAGAAGCCCCGGCUAACUAUGUGCCAGCCGCCGCGGUAACAC